rnacentral:rRNA from 1 species
AACGACUCUCGGCAACGGAUAUCUCGGCUCUCGCAUCGAUGAAGAACGUAGCGAAAUGCGAUACUUGGUGUGAAUUGCAGAAUCCCGUGAACCAUCGAGUUUUUGAACGCAAGUUGCGCCCAAAGCCAUCCGGUUGAGGGCACGUCUGCCUGGGCGUCACGCAU